ensembl:lncRNA
CUUCUUCGUCACCACCUCUACAAUAGGGACGUCCCAUACACCCUCCAACACACACACACACACACACUUCCCCGAACAGACAAAGAUGGGGCAGCAGUUAUUGCACGGUCAGGUAGCUAAACUUACAACAGAGAUUGAGAACAUCUUUUCCGCAGCCUAUGAAGGAGGAGGGUCGAAUUCUUGUUCCCUUUUCAUAUCUCCGGGACAGAUUAACUUGAGCCAACCUGUUCAUCAGAAAUGACAGAUCCUUUCCCUGUGGAUGUAUGUGGUUUACGUGCGGCGGCGCAUCGAAGCCCACACAGUAAUCAAAGUCACUGUUUGCCAGAGAAAUGUCACCCUCUUGACGUGCACAAAAUGCAUUCUCGUGACAUGGCUCGAGGUGAAAUGAUACGGAGGGGAGUAAAAGAGGAAAGGAGGAAGGACGACGGAGAAGAGAGGAGAAUGAGGUAUACACAGUACGUCUUAUGUAGGGUAAAUCCUUAUGCAAAGAUAGAACAUCUGGCCAACUAAACCCAGCGAUCCAUCAUCUCAGAUCUCAUCAUCUCAGAUCUCAUCAUCUCAGAUCUCAGAUCAUCUCAUCAUCUCAGAUGUCAGUGAGUCGGUGCCACUGGAAGUCCCUGCAAAGUCCUUGUGAGGACAGCGUCCUCUCAUCUCGUGGGUCUCUGCUGUAAUAGCUGCCAUGCCACCGUGUUGAGCCUGUAGAGGUCAAUCGGAAGGCGUUCUUAGAACGAGCGCAGCGUUCGUACAUAAACCACGAGCUGGCGGGGACAUAACGCUACUGCAAGGGUCCUCCAACACGUCCACCUAGCGAGUGGCUCGCCAGACAAUUCCGAAAGUACACGCAAACUGUCAUAAACUGACCCCUCCUGUCUCAGCCUCCAGUAUUUAUGCUGCAGUAGUUUGUGUCGGGGGGCUAGGGUCAGUUUGUUAUAUCUGGAGUACUUCUCCUGUCCUAUUCGGUGUCCUGUGUGAAUCUAAGUGUGCGUUCUCUAAUUCUCUCCUUCUCUCUUUCUUUCUCUCUCUCGGAGGACCUGAGCCCUAGGACCAUGCCCCAGGACUACCUGACAUGACUCCUUGCUGUCCCCAGUCCACCUGGCCGUGCUGCUGCUCCAGUUUCAACUGUUCUGCCUUAUUAUUAUUCGACCAUGCUGGUCAUUUAUGAACAUUUGAACAUCUUGGCCAUGUUCUGUUAUAAUCUCCACCCGGC